rnacentral:lncRNA from 1 species
UCAAUUGGAAAUAAAAUUGAAUUCAAUUGCAUACCUCUUGUUAAAUGAAUUCAAGGUUCAAUGAUUUCCAAAGCUCCAAUUUUUUUCCUUUUAGCUUGAGCUCACUUAAGAUGGACAUUCUAAAAACUCACGGAUACAUCAUUUUGGCUUAGGAGAACAAAGCUUUUUGCUAAGGAUCAAGAAAGAGAGAGGUUCGGCUAUGGUGGGGGAAGAGAAAAUGAAUUGCAAGUGAAAUUUGUAAGCAAUAUACU